GCAGUCGUGGCCGAGUGGACUAGAAAUCCAUUGGGGUCUUCAUGCACAGGUUCAAAUUCUGUCAACUGCG
rnacentral:tRNA from 1 species